ACUUAAGUAGUUUAAAUAUAAAAUAUUGAUUUGUGGUGUCAGUGAUAUAUGUAUAUAUCUUGAGUU
rnacentral:tRNA from 1 species